ACUUUUUUGGUGACUGAGUUUUUCUCCCUCUCUCCCCCUUUUCUUCUGCUUCUUUCUCCCUACUUUUGAUCCCCAGUCCCAAUUUAAACUUUGGAAAAUAGUCACCCUAGUUUGCCCACCGUGUUCUUUUUCGCUCAGUACAUAAACUCUCUGUUUGGGGCUGGGCUGGACCAUCACAGCUUCUACUGUUCUGCCGAUCGAGAGUUACGUCCCGUCAUGAAGUAGUUUCUCUCGCUGCUCUGCCUGGGUUCUCAGAGAUAAUCUCAUCACAGAGCCUGUUACUUCUCAAUACAGCCAGCUCCCGCUUUGACUUUCAACCCACCGAGCUGCCGUGAGAGCCGUGGUAGCCAAAGGAGCGAUGACAUGAUUUCCCCAAUCUGUGUUAAUAAUGAAAGGAGAAUGGGAACUCCCCCAAUGGCAAGCCACUGAACGGUGCUCGGCAAGAGACCAAGAGAGUAAGCGCUCAAAAAAUACUAUCGUCAACAUCACGGCAGUCGGACCUCUGGAGCGGGAGUUUCCAGCAGCUCAAGGGAUUGGUCGCAAUCUGGAGAUGCAGACACUGUCCCUGUGUAGCGACGUCCUUGGUGUUCCAAGAUGAUGCGUCUGGCAGUGUUGCCAUAGUUAGGCUGGAGAAAAAUAUGCGGAGGAAGGUGAUUUUUCAAACGAGCUUCCCAACCCUGUCAUCAUCAAACAGCUGUUCGGCGUCCCUCAGCUCCAGCGCCGGGAAGCGACAUUACGGGAUCAUUUUUGCCUCCUUACUCCUCCCCUCGGGCCCCCCAGUUUUGAGUGGCCUCCGUGCCAAAUUCAAACUUGGAACUUGAAAGUUGACAGUUGCAGUAAUGAGGGGUUUUUUCAUUUUUUGUUUUGUUUUGAGCAAUAGCCACUCAAAUGAGGGAAGGAGGAUGGCAGAACAUGGAGGCACAUAACUAGACGGUGAAUCGUGUGGGAAAGGCACUACGUCCAACCUGAUUAUCCUUUAUCCCAGCCCUCAGUGUACUCCUUGGUGCUUAAUGAAUGCUCCAAUUAUUAGAAUCUUUAUGAAUUUUGUUUAAGGUGUUAAUCAUCGUUUAAGCCUAUGAUAAAAUAAUCCCCAAAUAAAAGGGAUGUUUCCAAGCGUAUAUUGUUGCCGUUUGGAAGGGUACAGCUAAUUCUCAUACCAUGGAAGAGUUGGCUCCUGAUGAUGAGAGUGAUAAUAAUGUUAAUUGAGGUGUUUAAGUGCUUUCUAUAUGUCAAGCACUGUACUAAACACUUGGGGUAGAGACAAGAUGAUCAGAUCCCACGUGGGGCUCACAACUUGAGUAGAAGGGAGAUCAGGGGUAGAAUCCACCUUUUGCAGAAGAGGGAACUGAGACACAGAGAAGUUAGGUGACUUGCUCAGUGUCACACAGCAGACAAGUAGCAGAGCUGAGUUUAGAACCCAGGACCUCUGACUCCCAGGCCCGUGCUUUUCCACUAGGCCAUGCUGCUUCUCCCAACAGUGCUCGGCACAUAGUAAGCGCUUAACAAAUACCAAC
rnacentral:lncRNA from 1 species